CUGGGGAUGGCAUCCAGCAACAUCAAAGUAGCAUCUAAAAUAUAGCAAACAAUGUAGCUGUACUUCAGAGAUGAAGUAGAAGGCAGAGGGUAAACUUAACUGGUGCCAAAAAGCCAUAGUAAAACCAUUUGCUAUAGCUCCCUGUAUAUUUGGGGAAAAUAGAUUAUGUUUGCUACACAACACUAAUGUUAUCAACAGAGGCAAGCAAUUAUCCCCACACUGCAAAAAAAGCAGAAGAAGGAGGAGGAAGAGAAAGAGCUACAUGCUUCUGUGAAUCAGAAUUUCAGAUUCACUGACAAAGAGGGCUCUUGAAAACCAUUGGACUGCACUGAGUUGCAAAACAAAGAAGAUGUGCCAGACCAGUUGUGAUUGUCAUUGAGGCAAGGUGGCAGCAGAAAAAUGGAGUGGUGGAGUCUACUACAUCUUGCUCUCCUAAGGACAGUAAAUACUUAUACAAGCCUAUGUUCCCAGCUCUGUGUCCUGGGUGCUUCUGGUUCUCUCCUUCUCAACCAUAACUCAGCCAAAGAUUCUUUGAGGACACUCGCAAGAUUCCCCAAAGAGCCUGAUGUGAAUUGGAAAACACUGGUCCCUGUUGAAAGUUUGGGAUUCUUUUUAUUUGGAAAAAAAGAUUGUAUAAGAGCUAAACUCUGGAUGCACAAGGAAGCACUAACUCACAUAACUGAAGCACCACUUGGAACUCUUCCUGCCUUUCAGUAACAUGGUGGUAUGUGACUAUAAUCACAAAAGAUGAAGCCACUCUGUUAAGAAGAAAAGCAAUGUGUGUGAAAAUGCCAAGGUCAGUCUCUGAACCACUCUUACCUGAUCACCAUGCACAUCAAAAAAUUGCUUCAUUUUUUCUUGCUGUAAAUAUGUGUAGCUCUCCAACUAAACUGAAAAAUGCCACCCUUUCAACUCCAGGGUAAAGAAAGUCCCAGACAAACAAACGUCAAAACCUUCACCCAGUCUCUCUCCCUGAGUCACAGCUCUCCUUCAAGGGUCUGUGUCAGUCUUCCCUGUUGGGCAUAUAACAACAGCCACCCACGUAGGCUCCAAGAAAAAGGAGAGCUCUUCCUCUCUUGGGAGCUCCAACCUUGGGUCAUAAAUCGUGAAGUGAGUGGCACAUUGACUUGCCAACUUGCCACUUUCUCUCUCUCCCUCAUUGUUUACAUGGCCACCAUCAUUGUUAUGUCUGAGGACCUCCAAAACAUGAAUGAAUUUAGCCUCACAACACCCAUCUGAAAUAGGGGAGCAUUAUCCUAAUUUUACAGAUGGGAAACUAAGAUAGAGUGAUUAAGUGACUUGCCCUAAACUACACAGAAAUCUGUAGCACAGCUGAGAUUUGAACAUGUAUCUCUCAAGCUGAUUCCACAAAACCAUCGCUCUCUCCCUCCCUCCACUUUAUACAUAACCUCUGAAUUUGUCCCAGUGAGUCUCAGUUGGUGUAACUCAAAUUGAAGGGUCAGAAAAGAAAUGUGUACAAAGGCAAACAAUACUGGAGGGGAGGAAAGGGGGCAUAUGAAUGUGUGGGUUAAAGCAGGCAACCCCUAAUUUAACUCCCACCUCCUCAUAUAGUGUAAAUGAAAACCAUUUAAGCUCAAAUUUCAGUAAGUACCUGUAAGUAGCUUUAAGGAAUCUAAACUGGUGUACAGGAGUCUAACACUACCUUAUACGUCAACACUGAAUUUGUCCUAAAGACUCAGUAGUAGGCACUUUGAGUGUUCACUGGGUCUAUCCUACAUUUGCAAAUACGGAAAAUACCACACAUUUAAAAAUAAAAAGCUACUAACUUGUAAACAUAACUGACGUAACUAUUGUAGUUAAAAUUUACAUUAUUUUGUCCUUGACAGGUUUCAAAAUUAAUUGCCUCUUCUAUAAGUGUCUGCAGAAUAAGUAUCUUAUUAUGGAGAUCAGUUUUCAAGUAGCUGGAACUAUGGAGGCUCUCUCAGAGGCAGCUUUGGCUAAGAUAUAGUCCUUCAACACCUUCCAAACCUAAAAAUAAAUAAGGCUUUUCAUCAUCAUUUUUAAAAGUACCAGUGCUUUUAAGUUUGGGCAUCUGAUGUCUAAUUCUGAUACUAAUAUUAAAAAGCUGCAUGUCCGGAUGUCAUCUGAUCCAUUGCAAUGUACAAUUCCAUUAUUUGUGGUUUCAUAUUGAUCAUAAAAUAUUUAUACUUUUGCUUCUCCUAUGAAACAAUCAUUUUAUCAAGGCUACAUAAGCU